GUAAGGCCUGAGGGCCUGUGGCUUACCCUAGUGCAGCCCCCCCAGUGUGGCCCAUGCAGCAUGUGGCCCCCAAUACAUUAGAAGCUGGCCAGCACUGCCCUAGAUCAAUCUCGAUAACUUAUGUUUGGACUUCGCUCAGGUUUAGGGCCAAGUCUAUUAAUUUAGGUGUCCCACCAGAUCACCUGUUAAGAAACCUGAUUUUCAGGAAGUGUGGCUUACCCCUCCUUUGUAAAUCAGGAUCCUUCUGAGGCAGCUCAGGUUGGACAUCCACAUCUCUAGGUCCUUUUGGAAAUCUUAGCUUAAAUGGUGGAGUGAUGGAUGCAGAUGCUGGUUUCUGUUUUAUCUGCUUGUUGGUUCAGUGUUAGCCAAAGACUUAGCUUCAAGUUUGAAUUACUACAAUAUCACAGGCCCUCGCGUGACAGUGCUAAUCACGGUACAUGCAAUGCCUACGCUAUUUUGUGCUACUUAACAUUGUCACCUGUGAACAGUUUAGAUUGAAGUAAAAUUAAAUGGAGUCCAAAAUUUGCCGGCUCUUCUUGAUUUUAGCAGUGUUGUGGCUGGUAUAUGAAAAGUCGUUCUGGUGAACCUGGUUUUUGUCAUUUCUGGUUUUAUAAAUACAGGAGCAAGGUUGUGAGUGUUGUUUAUAAAGGAACCCAUGGCUAUCACGUAGAUUCCAGUUAAUGAUCAGUCGAGGUGGAUAGCUGCAAGCCCACUUGUCAGUGAAGGAAGAACAAUAGCUAGACAUCCAUUGUCGACAUCCUAAUCCUUAUGGAUUUGUGACCACUUGAUCAAAACACGGCUUUGCCUACCUCUCCCCAGCCUAUCAAAGACAAAAAUCUGACCAUUCAGCAUAUUGUAUAUCAUGCUCUCCUUUUCAUAUUACUAUGUGAGAAUACAAUACACUAAUCACCAAGCUUUUCUGGCUCGCAGGUUUAUUAGGUAGCUGUAUGACUUGUCUUUGCUCAAAUUCACUGUGCAGUAUUAACACCAUGUUAACCUUCCUGAUCCUCAAGAUGCCCUACCACAGGCUUUGUCCCAGUCCUUCCAGCCUUGCAAAACUAAUAGAAAUGGCAUCUCACGCAACAGGCUUGUAGCUUGCAAGCACUCAAGUUCUCUCUCUUAAAUGUUAAAGAACUUGGAUGCUUUACUACCUUCUGUCUGCUGAACCACUACAGCUUGGGGAGAGUGAAUUGGCUACUUUCCUGCACUGUCCACUGCAUUGGUAACUAAUUUCUAGCUGUGUUACCAUAUUUAUUUCACUAUGUGCCUUCACUUGCUCUUGCUUUGCACCCUCAAGGAAGCAGCUGCUUAGCUACAGACUCUGGGCUGCAUUUACAGCCCUGAAGGUUGAGAGAAAUGCUUUUACUAAUAAAAUGAGCAUGUGAACAUGCCAUGAUCCAAGAAGCCCAUAUGAUCAUACGAAAGCAGGGCUGGAAGGGAUGUCAUGAGGUUAUCUAGUCUAGCCCCCUACUCAAGGUAGGAUCAUUUCUGAUUAAGCCAUCCCAGUCGAGUGUCUAUCCAACCUGCUCUUGAAAAUUUCCAGGGAUUGAGAGUCCACAACUUCUCUAGGUAUCCUGCUCCAAUGUCUGACCACCUUCCUAAAUCAGACAGAUCUUCCUAAUUUCCCAUGAAAAUUUUCUCUACUGCUGCCAGAGGCUGUUGUUCCGGUCCUAUCCCAUCCCCUACAGACAGAGAAAAGUGCAUCUCCAUCCUCUCUAUCAUCAUCCUUUAAGUAUUUGAAAAGUAUUAUCAAAUCCCCCCUCAGUUGUCUCUUCUCCAAACUAAAUAAUCCUAGUUCUUUCAGUCUUUCUGUGUAAAUCAUACUUUCCAGGCCUCUAAUCAUUCCUGUUUAUAUCAAGCAGUCAUUGGCUCUUUAAACCCCUCAUGCUGUUUAUACUGUCACUACAAAGAAACAUCCAUGUGUGAAGGCCCAACGACUCCAGAAUUACGAUCUGAGUCAGCCGCCGGCAGCAGAUUCUUCCGUGUGCCGUGGGUCAUGUCUUCUAUUUCUCCGAUGCUAUUUUUCCUUAAGGAGAUUGUGUUCCUGCCCUAAUAGUCUCCCCUGAGCCCUCUUCCAAUGCCACACACUAUUUUUCUCAGUAGGAAAAGCAUUUUGUGAAAAAUGUUAAGGUUUUGAAAUCGUUUUUAUUCUGUAUGAGAAUAAAAAUGAGACAGUCUGAAUAUUGCAUCUGUGGGGCACUUGCCUGCUUUCCCUUUCCCUCAGAUCAGCUAGUAGGGCUGGGGUUAGGGCAGCUGCUUGGGGUAGGAGGAAAGUUGGGUUCACGUCUACAGUCUGAGUGAAGUAGGUGAUUCACAGGUAAGUGCUAGAGCUUCUGGGGCACUGGCUAUUCUGGUGCCUCUUUUUCUUUCCUUCCAACCCGAGACCCCUCCUGAGGAGAGCAUGAGCUCAUUCAGAUGUAGUGGUAGCUCUUUGUGGCUGCAUGGAGUCACGGGUUGACUUUUGUUCUCCUGAAAAGGUUUAAAUAUGGUACUUCCAUUGUUUGCCAGCUCAAGACAUAAGACUAGUGCACAGAGAUAGGCACCUAACUUCUUUAGAUGCCAAAAUCCACCAUGGAUACUUCAUAUCCAUCACCCAGCUGCUACUUGCUCUGCAGGCCCUGAAGUGCCAGCUAGUGGGCAUGCACAAGCUAAGAGUUACUGCUACCCAAAGUCUAACAGGCAGUUUGGAGGCUUCACCCCAUCCUAGAAACCUUGGCGUGUGAUCCCCAAAUGGGGCGUUCCUUUACUUGUACCGUAUAAAGGGGAGUGUAUGUGUGUCCUAGGUUCCCAUAACCUAUGGGGUUUCAGACUCAUGGCAAAUCUAGUGAAGCAGGGAUUUGAGCCUAGGUUUUCCCCUGGUGAGUGCUUUAGCUAGUAGGCUAUCGACUAAUCUGAGGUGAUGCAUCUCUCUGUCUUUAUGUGUCUCACUCUUUCCAGCUCUACCAGGAAACCUGGGCUAAAGGCCUAUCAGCAGAAGAGGAACCCUGUGCAGAGCUGGAACUGUAAUAGACUCAUGAGGGAUUUUUUUUUUAAACUAAGACUUGAGGAUGGAGUGGAUACUACAUUAUACCAUUAUUAUAGCUUCAAUAUUUUUCUUUAACUGGAUUGUUUAUUAUGCAUGAGUUGAGACACAAAUGUGGAAUAAAUGAAGCUGAGAUAUCAAAUUAAUGCUGUGAUCUUGGUUCCCCCUUCUCCCUGCUUUGUUGCCAUAACAAUCUGUGACACUUGAAGCAACAAUAAAAUUAGAAUUGCAUUAAAGGUGUUUACAUCAUGUACACUCUGUCUCCCAUUAUUAUUUUUCAUUGUAAUAAAUGCAUUUAAUAUUU